AUUGAACGCUGGCGGCAGGCCUAACACAUGCAAGUCGAGCGAGCGGCGGACGGGUGAGUAAUGUAUGGGGACUGCCCGAUAGAGUGGGAUAACUCCUGGAAAAGGUAGCUAAUACCGCAUACUAUCGGAUAACCCAUAUGGGAUUGGCUAGUAGGUGAGGUAAUGGCUCACCUAGGCAACGAUCACUAGCUGGUCUGAGAGGCGGAUAAGCCACACUGGGACUGAGACACUGCCCAGACGCCUACGGAGGCAGCAGUGGGGAAGAUUGCACAAUGGGCGCAAGCCUGAUGCAGCCAUGCCGCGUGUAUGAAGAAGGCCCUAGGGUUGUAAAGUACUUUCAGUCGGGAGGCGUUACCGACAGAAGAAGCACCGGCUAACUCCGUGCCAGCAGCCGCGGUAAUAC
rnacentral:rRNA from 1 species